GCCAGGUGUGGUGGCAUGCGCCUGUAAUCCCAGCCGUUUGGGAGGCUGAGGCAGGAGGAUUAUGAGUUCAAAGCCAGCCUCAGCAAUUUAGUGAAACCCUAAGCAAUUCAGUGAGACCCUGUCUCUA
rnacentral:sRNA from 1 species